rnacentral:rRNA from 1 species
CGCUGGCGGCAUGCCUAACCAUGCAAGUCGAAUGGCCCGCAAGGGUACCAUGGCAGACGGCUGAGUAACACGUGGGUAUCUACCUCUGAGUUCGGUAUAACCCAUCGAAAGGUGGGAUAAUCCCGGAUACGCCCGAAAGGGAAAAGAUUUAUCGCUUGGAGAGGAACCUGCGCUCGAUUAGCUUGUUGGUAGGGUAACGGCCUACCAAGGCUCUGAUCGAUAGGGGGCCUAAGAGGGUGACCCCCCAGACUGGGACUGAGACACGGCCCAGACUCCUACGGGAGGCAGCAGUGGGGAAUUUUGCGCAAUGGGCGAAAGCCUGUCGCAGCAAUGCCGCGUGAAGGAAGAAGGUCUUCGGAUUGUAAACUUCUUUUGUUGAUGGCGAUUAUGACGGUAAUCAACGAAUAAGAGCUUGCUAACUACGUGCCAGCAGCAGCGGUAAUACGUAGAGCUCGAGCGUUAUCCGGAUUUACUGGGCGUAAAGCGUCCGCAGGUGGAUUUGUAAGUCUGACAUUAAAGAUCUUGGCUCAACCAAGGGACAGUGUUGGAAACUACAAGUCUAGAGGUCGGGAGAGGCUGAUGGAACUUCUGGAGUAGGGGUAAUAUCCGUAGAUACCAGAAGGAACACCAAAGGCGAAGGCAGUCAGCUAGCCCGAUUCUGACACUCAGGGGCGAAAGCGUGGGGAGCGAACGGGAUUAGAUACCCCGGUAGUCCACGCCCUAAACGAUGGGUACUAGGCAUUGGUGGCAUCGACCCCCUCAGUGCCGAAGCUAACGCGUUAAGUACCCCGCCUGGGGAGUACGGUCGCAAGACUAAAACUCAAAGGAAUUGACGGGGACCCGCACAAGCGGUGGAGCAUGUGGUUUAAUUCGAUGGUAAGCGGAGCACCUCACCAAGGCUUGACAUCCUGUUGAAAGCACCCAGAAAUGGGAGCCCUCCUUCGGGACAACAGUGACAGGUGCUGCACGGUUGUCGUCAGCUCGUGUCGUGAGAUGUACGGUUAAGUCCGAUAACGAGCGCAACCCCUAUUGCGUGUUGAAUUUUUCACGCGAGACUGCCGUGGUUAACACGGAGGAAGGUGGGGAUGACGUCAAAUCUGCGUGGCCUUUAUGCCUUGGGCGACACACGUGCUACAAUGGGCAGGUCACAAUGGGUUGCUAAGUCGCGAGACGGAGCUAAUCCCAACAAAACUGUCCCCAGUUCGGAUUGCAGGCUGCAACUCGCCUGCAUGAAGCCGGAAUCGCUAGUAACCGCAAAUCAGCCAUGUUGCGGUGAAUACGUUCUCGGGUCUUGUACACACCGCCCGUCACACCACGAAAGCGAGGGGCACCCGAAAUC